rnacentral:rRNA from 1 species
UACGGAGGGGACUAGCGUUGUCCGGAAUUAUUGGGCGUAAAGCGCGCGCAGGCGGCUUCGUAAGCCCAGUGUUUAAACUCGGAGCUCAACUUCGAGUCGCGAGUGAAACUGCAAGCUUGAGUGCAGAAGAGGAAAGUGGAAUUCCACGUGUAGCGGUGAAAUGCGUAGAGAUGUGGAGGAACACCAGUGGCGAAGGCGACUUCCUGGCCCUCAACUGACGCUGAAGCGCGAAAGCAUGGGGAGCGAACGGG